UUCAAAACAUGUAAAAUUAAAAAAAUAGUGUAGCAAUAAGUUUUGUAUUGCUAUGGCAUCUGUGUAUCGUACAUUGAAGUUAGAGUGAUUUUCAGCAAUAAGAAAAUUGACAACAAAUGCAAGCAUUGGGAGAAACUUUUUUUGGAAAGUGCUGUUUAUGAAAAAAGUAUGAGUGUUUGUGAAACUACUGGCAACCUGCUUGUAUGGAAAGAUAUAAAAGUCUCAUUAACCAAAGUUUCAGGUAAACAUUCUAUAAGGUUAUUUUUUAUUGAUAGAUUUAAAAAAAUAUAUUAUUUUUGAAU
rnacentral:lncRNA from 1 species